AUUGAACGCUGGCGGCAGGCUUAACACAUGCAAGUCGAGCGGUAACAGGCCUUCGGGUGCUGGCGAGCGGCGGACGGGUGAGUAAUGCCUAGGAAUCUGCCUGGUAGUGGGGGAUAACGUCCGGAAACGGGCGCUAAUACCGCAUACGUCCUACGGGAGAAAGUGGGGGAUCUUCGGACCUCACCCUAUUAGAUGAGCCUAGGUCGGAUUAGCUAGUUGGUGAGGUAAUGGCCCACCAAGGCGACGAUCCGUAACUGGUCUGAGAGGAUGAUCAGUCACACUGGAACUGAGACACGGUCCAGACUCCUACGGGAGGCAGCAGUGGGGAAUAUUGGACAAUGGGCGAAAGCCUGAUCCAGCCAUGCCGCGUGUGGGAAGAAGGUCUUCGGAUUGUAAAGCACUUUAAGUUGGGAGGAAGGGCAGUUACCUAAUACGUGAUUGUUUUGACGUUACCGACAGAAUAAGCACCGGCUAACUCUGUGCCAGCAGCCGCCGUAA
rnacentral:rRNA from 1 species